AGGAGGUUAGAGCUGCCAAGUUGGCAAAGAUGGCGGACGAAGCAGAUAGAGCCAUGGAGGUCCUGUUAAAGCAAAGAGAAGAUAUAGCCGAACAGAUGCUUCGGGUGGCGGAAUUACGGGACGAAGCAUCUAGCCAUGAUCGGUCCGAAGGACGAAGUGGGCAUAAGGAGGAGUCACGACGAAAGGGAAAGGAGCCGAAGCGUUCCAUGCGUGUUUCUAGGGAUCAUUCUCGAAGUAGGAGGAGAUCAAGGAGCAGAACUCACGUGGCCUCGAAGAAGGC
rnacentral:lncRNA from 1 species